CACCUUUCACUCAGAUACCCCCCUAUUGAGCCCAGUGACUUUGGUCGGACCAGGCGGUUCAGCCCUCGGAGACUGGGGGCCAGAGGCAGAGACCAGGAGGGAGCGAGAUGCCCCUGCAGUGGCCGGGGAUUGAUUUGAUCCCUCCUGGCUCUGCCAAGCCCACCACCCACAGCCGUGUGCUGUUCUGAGGGGUGACUUCGCUAGCUGCCAGCUCUGGAUGGUGCUUUGUGGAACAGAUGAAAAGCAUGCAGGUUAAGACAGGAACAACAGGAAGUGACAGCAACACAGGAAGUGGGUAGACAAGAGCACGGCAGCAGAGCGUGGGUUCCUGGGAUUACAAGGCAUUUUGUGUUAUCAGAACCGUUUCCACUGCUACACUGGUGGGGAGAGAGAGAGAACAAGAGAGGCUUGUCUGAUUGCACCAGGAGGUUCUGGCACCCAUAGUUCCAGCUGACAUCAACGGAGCUGCAUCGAUCUACACUUGACUCUGCCCUGAAUCACAAUAACGUGCUACAAUAAGGAUUUCCUCGCAUGAUCUGACAGGGGACAAAGGGCCUUCACGCACCUGCCUUCUGAGACAGAAACUAGAACUCAGCCCCGGACAAAUGGUGGUACCUAUGGAUGGAGUUCAGUUCUUAAUGCAUCUUAACAAACAGGCAAGCACUCAAGAGUUUCUACUUACUCACCAUUCAUCUACUCCAGUGAUGACUUAAAGGACUGGAAAACCUGCCUUACAGUGAUAGACUCAAGGAGCUCAAUCUAACCAAGAAAAGCUAAGGGGUGACUUGAUCACUGCCUGAAAGUACUUGCGUGGGGAACAAAACUUUGAUAACGGGCUCUUCAGUCUGGCAGCCGAAGGUCUAAGAAGCUCGGCUGGCUGGAAACUAGACAAAUUCGGCCUAGACGCAAGGCGCACGUUUAUAACAGUCCGGGUAAUUAACCACUGGAACAAUUUACCAAGAGCUGCGGUGGAUUCUCCGUCUCUAGCCAUUUUUAAUCAAGACUAGAUGUUUUUCUAAACUCGUACACACAGGAAUUGAUUCAGGGACGUCCUAUAGCCUGGGUUAUACAGGAGGUCAAACUAGAGGAUCUCUACUGGCUUUAUAAUCUAUGAAACCCUGAUAGAUUGGCUCUAGACCAAUAAAUAAUAUGGUUAUAACAGUGCAGAGCUAGGUUCUACAGAGACUAACCUACGGUUUUAUGACCUCUUGUUUCUGUUAGACCUGCGGAGGAAACCCAGUCCUGGGAGAAUGAGCUGGAUUCUAUUCUGACUCAGGCAUCACCAACGGAACACACUACAUUCCAAAUUCAAAUCUGAAUUGAUGAUGCGUAAGCCGGAAAGAACCUGGCUUGACUCCCCGAUCUCAGGGGGAGUUUGCAGUCUGGUGGCAUUAAAUUAUUAUCUUUUUACUGGAAAAGCGAGUACAUUUGAAUCUGGAGUUGCCGAGAGAUGAUAAAGGAGGAGCCUCGCAUAAACAUUCUCAAUAGCAGCAGUGCAUUGGAAUAAGUCCAUCUCUUGCUGAAAGUCUCUUGAUGUAUGGUUAGUUCUCAGUGGAGAGUCAGCUCUCCAAAUCACUGUAUAAAGGCGCCUCUGUUUACUUGAGCCACAGCUUGGAUAUACUUUAAAGCACAUGUUCUAUUCUGAAGCGUGAUUAUUGCUCCUUCUUACCUCUCAGACCUUUGCCCUGGCAGGAUCUACCUGCUGACUGUAGAGGCAACAGUCAGAUUUGGCUGAUUCUCACUCUGAUUAGUCCUGCGGAGCCAAGAGAGCUCUGGGGGAGCAAGGUAGAGUCUCUUGUGGCUCGUGCCUCAUCAAGAGAAUUGCUGAUUAAUUCCGAGGGGGUUACAAAGGCAAUGAGGCUGCACAGCUGUCCCUGGGGGCAGAGAUUCCCUGCAGAACCGUACUACUGGUGCUGAUCCAGAGGAUGGCAAGUGGCCAGGUGGACAGGGAAGAUCAGGCAGAGAGGAAGGAUGGCUCCAGUAGUUCAGGCACUGGCGUGGGAUUUGGGAGACCCAAUUCAAUUCUCUGCCUGUGUGACCUCCGCCAGCUCACUUAGUCUCUCUGGGACUCAGUUAUUCAUCCGUAAAAUGGGAAUAAAAAUAUUUCCCUGCUGCCUGAGGGGGCCUGAGGGUAAAUACAACAAAGACUGUGAGGCGCUCAGAUACUGUGGUGAUCCCAGGUCAUAGAAGGACCUAAAACAGAUAAGAAGGAGCUCAUGCCCAUCUAUUGAAGGCAGAGGUGAUUGCUAUUUGUUUCAAUUAUAUACAUGUACCCAGAGGCUGUGUCCAUAGACAGAUAAUAUAAACCUCUAGGCCUGAUCCUGUUCUUGCUGAAGUCAAUGGUCUCCUGAGGGAGCAAGACUGGAAUAAAUAUACAUAAUGUUCUGCUGAAAGGGGCUAGCAGUGAAUCUUGUAUCUAAAGACAAUCCCAGACCUAAAACUUAUGUUUGUGGCAAGCAUAGUUUUAGGCCCAACAGAAGAAACAAUCAAGACCCUUUAGGUAGCAGAGACAGCUGCAAACAUGGAAGCUACCGCCCAAGGUGCUAGGUCACAUGAUAGGUCAGAGCUAAGUUGUAUGGGCCGAGGGGUUUCCCUGGUUGCAAACACAGGGGCUAGGAUGUUGGUUGCUGCCUGUGUGUGUUGGAAAAAAACAGCCAGGAGUGUGUGACCUUGAGGUGAAGCAGAGUGUCUAAGCUUCUUGGGCACAGAGCUCGCUAGAGGCGCAGGCAUAGGGAUUUCGGAGGAAGGAAAUUGCCUGCUGCUGUUUGUUUCUAUGGUCAGAGAAACAGCACUCCGUAGACAUUUUUUGGAAAUAAACAAGGUAACACCAAGAAUAUACCUGGCUCGUAUAAUCGAUUCCUCAGCCUAAACAAUUCUGAAAGGCCCUGGCAUUAACUAACCACUCAGGCUGAAGGAGCAACCAUAACAUGUGAGAAGCCAUAAGGCUUUCCCCCACCACACUCCUCCCAGACUUACCGGACACCGUGACUAUGAUAUACUGCUGUGGGGCUGGUGUUGGAGUCGGUUGGCCCGUGGCCUGAGCCUGCGGCUGGGGGGCCUGGAUUUCCGAGACAUACUGUUUCUGAGUGGCUGGUUGUUGCUGCGGGCUUUGCAAUUCC